rnacentral:rRNA from 1 species
AUUGAACGCUGGCGGAAUGCUUUACACAUGCAAGUCGAACGGCAGCACGGGGCAACCUGGUGGCGAGUGGCGAACGGGUGAGUAAUACAUCGGAACGUGCCCAAUCGUGGGGGAUAACGUAGCGAAAGUUACGCUAAUACUGCAUACGAUCUACGGAUGAAAGCGGGGGAUCGCAAGACCUCGCGCGAAUGGAGCGGCCGAUAUCGGAUUAGCUUGUUGGUGAGGUAAAGGCUCACCAAGGCGACGAUCUGUAGCGGGUCUGAGAGGAUGAUCCGCCACACUGGAACUGAGACACGGUCCAGACUCCUACGGGAGGCAGCAGUGGGGAAUUUUGGACAAUGGGCGCAAGCCUGAUCCAGCCAUGCCGCGUGAGUGAAGAAGGCCUUC